rnacentral:misc_RNA from 1 species
AAGUCGUAACAAGGUUUCCGUAGGUGAACCUGCGGAAGGAUCAUUAUCACAAAAUGAUUUUAGCUUUGUCCCAAAUUAAUCCUUGGGUCAAGCUAACCUCUUCUCUUAAACCAAUUUAAUUCAAAUGUGAAACUGUUCAGUUGUUUUUUUUUAUGAUGAUCGGCUCUAAGCCUUUCAAAACAAAAAAACACAACAUUUUUAACCAAUUGAACCCUAAUAAUUUUUUAGUUAUUUUAUUUAAUUUAGUUCUGAAAUAUUAUUAUAGAAACCUCACUCUUUUGUGUGGUUUUCUUAUAAUAAAUUACAUUACGAAACAAUUAUCAAUAAAACAACUCUUAGCAACGGAUAUCUUGGUUCUC